rnacentral:misc_RNA from 1 species
UCCGGUUUAACACCGGCAGUCCCUCUAGAGAUCCGCUUGCGCGGCAACUAAAGGCUAGGGUUGCGCUCGUUGCGGGACUUAACCCAACAUCUCACGACACGAGCUGACGACAGCCAUGCAGCACCUGUGUUCCCGCCAGCCGAACUGAAGGAUGAGGUCUCCCCCACCCACACGGGACAUGUCAAGAGCUGGUAAGGUUCUUCGCGUUGCGUCGAAUUAAAGAACAUGCUCCGCUGCUUGUGCGGGCCCCCGUCAAUUCUUUUGAGUUUUAGCCUUGCGGCCGUACUCCCCAGGCGGAACACUUAUCGCGUUGGCUGCGGCACAGACAGAUUCGACUCCGCCCACACCUAGUGUUCACCGUUUACGGCGUGGACUAC